GUGUGAACUUGGUAAUACUUAGCUCCCUAAAGAAAUUCAAUUCAAAGUAAAAACGUGACAAAUCUUGGGGACCUACAACCUUAUAUUCUGCUUAAAAUUUCCCUAAGGGUACUUUGGUACUUUACGUGCGAAACUUUUGCUACACCAAACAAAAAUUUAAUCUUCUAGAGGCCUUAUAAUGUUGAUCGGGAGAUCGGUUUAUAUGGAAAUUAUAUAAGGUUAUCGUUGGAUUUGGACCAUAUUUAGCACGAGUGUUGAGAAUCAUAACAGAACACUAUGCGCAAAAUGUCAAUCAAAUCGGACAACAGAGCUCAAGAUAUCAAAUCGGAAUAUCAGUUUAUAUCGGAGCUAUAUCAGGUUAACCAGGAAACUAUAUGAAAGGAAUGGCAGUUAUAUAAAAAUAAAUUCAUUUAGCUCCAAUAUAUAUAUUUUCGCGAUAUUUGCCACGAUAUUUUCCUCUAUGAACACCGUAAAGUUAACUAUAUACAUGUCAACCCGAUUUGACCUCAAACCGCCAUAGUAUGCUCAAUAAUUAUGCGAACUACAAGAAA